UACCGAGAUUUUGGACUUUUUUAUUUAUUUAUUUACUUUUUUUUCUGUCUGGAAACUUUUGUGUGUGUGCGUGUGUGUGUAUUUAGAGCUGCGUCAUUUCGUAAUUAUUUUUUCAGACGCCGUUGUCUCUAUCCAGCGUGUGCGACCAGGUUGUUAAAGACUAGAUGGUUUUUGCUUAUACCAGCAGGAUCUUUGCAAGAUUUAAUUAACCCCGUGCGCCUCAUCACGUUGCUUUUACCGAAUAGAGUAGCUGUCUGAGCAGCCUGCGGUCAGCACGGGACCGCGCUGGGUUGCAGGACUGAAAAGGUUCGGUGCAAUCUAUGCAAAAUGAUUGUAGCCUUUCAGGGUGUUGCCGAGGUUAAGUGAAAGCCCCAGGACGGUAAGAGCAAAGAACUGGUAGCUCUCCAAGAAGAAAAUCGUUAUUUUUAAUUGAGCCGAGUUUAGUUGUUUGGUUGGUUUUUUUUUUUUUUUUUUCUUUUUCUUUCCUAGCAUAGCUGGAAAGUGUCUUUGUUCUGUGUGAAUAAGCGGAGGCUUUAAAACGCGUUCGUCACGAAUGGCUGGCGGGAGGAUAUACACAGCAAAUAAUGACAAACCUGAGCGAAAGGAAUGCAGUGACAUGGGUUUGGAAAGCGGUGGUGUCCCAGCGAUUACUUGUCUUUUCCUGUGGGGUUCCCCCCCAGCUUUUGCUCUUUCUGAUUUUUAUUUUUUUUUUUAACUUUAAUUAUUUCAGAGCUGUGGCCAAGGGCAGGGGCUGGCGUGGCCGAAAUGCCCCCGUGGGUCCCCGUCCGCCCCUGCUUCGGGGCUCGCUUCUCUCCAGCCGCAGAUGUUAAAUUUCUCUUCUCUUUUCGUUCCGUAGUCCAAAUAUUUGGCUGUUAAUAACUAAAUCUCUGCGUGACGGCUUGCUUUGCCUGCGAGGCUGAGCAGACAGCUCAUCCCCUCGAUGUCAGGUUUCGGAGCGUCGUCUUUUCGGAUCCCAUUUUCCUUGGAGUUAUUCCUAAGCCCCUAUUUUUAUGUGUUCCCCGUCGCUCUCCCGUCCCAGUGGCACGGGGGCUACCAGUUUCACCUCUUGUCAAAUCUGGCGCAGUAAAUUCAGGUAGUUUGAACUCUACGUUAUUUUCCUAUUUGGCAUAAUUACACGAUUUAAAAUCUCGUCAUUAAAAACACCAAAUAAAAAUACUCGACACCUGGGAUGUCUGCUGGUACUUUUACUUCCCCCGGCGCGAAAGGAGUUAUUUAACUUAUAGAAAGAAGCAAAGAAUCCCCUCUUUUUAGCAGAAAGUCAAGCAGUGCAAUUAAGCGAAGGUUCAGAGAGUCGGAAAAAAAGCUGGAAUAUCGCUGUGAAAAAGCAGCAACGACUGGUUGUUUUUCAAGCAUAAGGAGCUUUUUGGAUUUGAGAGAGCUGCUUCUUCUGGGUUGUUUGCUCAGCCCUCCCGAGGGGCCGGAUCCUGCAUCCCGGGAGGAUGCCGGUGCCGGAGGUGAGUCCUGGCUGUGGAGCCCCGGGCUCAGCUCCCGGCAGGCGAGGCGGGGUGGGGAGCGCUGGCAGCCGCCGCAGAGCUGCUUCCCAGCCUGGUUUUGGUUUACGAGAGAAUGAGGAGUCAGUGUAAAAUGUUCGGAUUGCUCCGGUGGAAACUUUCCGGUGUAUUGGAAAUACGUAAAGACAGAACCGGUGACGACACCGCUGCGCGAAAAGUAACUUCUGACUCCCUGAAAAGCAAGAAAACCUUUGAGGACCGGGUAGCUGAUGACAGUCAUUCCCAUCCCGCUCCGCUGAAACCCAUCCGUAUCUGAAGCCAAGUGAAACCAGCGGGCGGGCAGGCAGCGAGGAGCCUGGAGGUCUCGCUGUUCUCCCCCAUCUCCUCCGAACGCCGCGGUUCAAAUGCUGGCAGGGUGGCGAUUCGUCUCCAGAUGCUGCUGGUGAAAAAAUAUCUGACCCCUGUAUUUCAAAAGGUUUUGGAGCAAAGACAGACCUUUCCCUGCCUUUGAAUCAGGGCUUCAUGCCUGUACCUGGCACGAAUCUACUCUGGAGAUGAUGCAGCAUUGAGGAGAACUGGUGGAUGGUAACUGCAGAACUCCAGCUCGCUUGUUGAGAAGGUGGAAGGUAUUUUCUGAAUGAAGCAGGUCGCGGAAGAGAAAGAAAACAAGGUGGUGUUUUGCUCUUCAAAAGAUCAUGGACUGCUCAUUUUCUGUGUGGCUCACAGAGGUGACAAGACGGGAGAACUGAAGGAACAGAGAUGUGAAGUUAUCUGCUCAAAACCAUUCAGGAGGGCAGUGACAAAUCCAGGAACAGAAGCCAAGUGUCCUAAGUUGCUGCCCAACACAGUCUAAUACUAUAAUCAACAAGAAAGUUUGCCUUCUGAUGUUACGAUGAGGGACCCGAGCACCUAUACUUUGGUUUGUCUUUAUAGAGGAUGGUGGAUUGUGUGUUCCCAAUGAGGAUGUUCUGAGUGUUGGAAAUCACUUCUAGAAAUAUAGGUCUGAAUGUCUUGGAAGCACCAAAAGCUCAGCUCUGGCUCCAGUUUAGCUGGAGAGGAGGCUAUGCCAAUAGAUUCAGGUGCUGCGAACAUGGAAGCCUGUUACAGAGUCUAAUGCUGCCUGGUGUAAGAAGGACUAUCUGUCAGUUUUGGCAAAGGUACAACUUGCUUUCUGUCUCCCCUGGCUAUGUCCUCCUAUACCAGGUAGGGACACAACACUCACUUUAAACUUUUGGGGUACUAAGCACCAAUAGUUACAGUAGCAGCUGGUUUUACUUGCACUUGAAGUUUUGAAGCAGAGCAGCAGCUUUUUGCAUGGGAUAGGGAGGGUUUCCUUUUGGCUUUCACCUCAAUUUGACAUAGCCGUGCCUUGGGCUUCCCAGAAUAGCACUACUGUCCAAUGCUGAAACACCAUUGAAGCAUUGUCUUAGUAGUAGGUGCUUGGUGAUUUAUUAGGAGCAAUAUUAAAUCUGAUUGGAAAACUGUAUUUUUUCGACAAUGUUUUCCUUAUGCACCUUUACAGUUUCCAAAUCUCGAUUUUCAGCAGUUUGCCUGAACACAGGUGGUGAGCAUGCUCAAAGAAUGUGUCAGAUUAGCUGCAAUCCAUCCUAUAAAGUAUCUGCAAUUCAUCCAUGCUUCUCCCACCAGCAGGUGUCAUUCUGGAAAAAGGAAAAUAUUGUAAAUCCCUGAACUGGAGAAUUUGGCUGCAAGAAAUAAGAAGAAAAGAUGUUUGCUUAAAAUAUAGCUUUUGAAGGAUACUUUAUUCUGAUGAAAAACCAAGCCACAGCUGACUGGUCUGCAUGAAACAGUCUAUGAAUAUUUUCUAAUAAUCUCUGUGCACCGUGCAAUCAUGACAUACAACCAACAAAGGGCAGAAGGUUGGUAAGGGAAACCAAUGUCCAGCUAAAGCUGUCUUCUGCCUUUCACUCUUCUCUGUGGUAUCUUUACCACUGCUGACUCACCCCCCAUGACUAUAAAAUCAAUGAUAUUCACGAAUCUUUAUGAUGAGCUUUGGUUUCCCCCAAAGGACACACAGAAUGAAGAUGUUGAAUUCAGAUCUCAUUUAUUUCAAAGAAAACUUGAGGUAAUCUCAUUGAAGCAACUGAAAUCAGAGAAUUGCUUGGGAUUUAGUGUGCAGUAACCAAAAGUAGUAUUUCACUUUCUACUCUGUAAGUGAACCUCAAACAGAAAAUAUUCACAUAAUAAUUUAAAUGUCUAUUAUAAUAUUUAUGUUUGCCUUUAAGUGUUCAUCUGGUUAUUAGCUGCAGCCUCCUUUAAUAUGAAGAGAUUAUUUUUGAUUUCUCAUGAUCACAGAAAGCUGAGUUAUAAAGAACCAAGACCCUCCUUGUUCAUUGCUGAGGACUUCUGGUCUACUGAGUCUAGUCUGCUGGCUGUUGAUUACAAACUUACCAUGAAAGCCAUGCAGAAGGUGUCUUGCCUACCCUACUGGAAGGUUGUUCUAACCCAUCACAGCUCUAUCUUUUAGCCUAAAUUUAUUCAGAGCCCUGGUGUCUAUAUGGUCCUUUUACAUUAAACAGGUUUUUUCCCCUCUAUGGUGGUUUUCUCCAAGCUGAUGUAUUUAGGAAAAUCCGUGAAACUCCCUUUCGGGCCCAAUUUUAGUAAGCCAGAGGUCCUAGACUGUAGGUCAACAUGCCAUGCAAAAUCUUACAUGAUGGCUUCUCUCAUCCAACGUUUACUUUCCAUGGGAGCAGGCUGCGGGCUGAGGUGGGGUGUUGUGGGAGGCCAUGUCAUCCCUUUUCUUACCAUUUCCAUCAGCUGGGAAGUUUGGGCCCACGCAUCUUAGAUGAAAUUAAUAAAAUUUACAGUUUUCUUUCAGAAGCUUAGUUUUUCAUCCUCAAGUUACUUUAAGUUAAAUUGAUCUUUUUUUAAACAAAGGCAAGUAGGAGUGUGCAUCCUUCGUUACUGCCUUGCAUGCAACACUAAUGCAACAGCUUCCACAUCCUACUAGAAAUACUUCAUCUGAUAUGUCUUAGUGCUGUGUCUGCCUUUCCAAUGUCUUCAUCGCAGUCAUCUUCCAGUUGACUGGGUUUAUCUUCUCCUCAGCACUAGAAGUGCUUCUACAAAGGACUGUUAGCUAUUGUGAUACGAUACUCCACCUAAACUCUUCCUGGAAUCAAAGGGAAAUUUGCUUGUGGAAAGACAUGAGAACAAGCUCCAAGGCUUGGCUGCGAGAAGCAACUUCUAAAAAUUUCACAUUUUUAGAAUUUGCAAUUACAACAAAGUGAUGUAAAAUAAUUGUACUGUAGGCAGCCAUGUCUUUUUCCACAAGGUAUUUAACUGCAGACUUGACAAUGCUUUUCUUGUGAAUGAUAUCAAGCACUUGGUUGCUGAAUCAGAAAAAAAUUAGAAUUGAAAACUUCAUGCUAAAAUAGCUAAAAGUUGUAGUCUUGCUUUUGCAUGAAGCCUGUAUGACUGUUUUCUGACUUUUCAGUAAUCAACUUUGAAAAUGUAGUGACAGUCUAAAAAUAGAUGAGAAGAAGUAUAGGAGAAUUGUGAAUGUCACCAAUUCAUUAUGCUCUUUGUUUUCAUAGGACCUCGAUAAACAGCAGUGAUGAUCUCCAACAGGUUUUGUACAGUAAAGUAGGAGAUUUAGACAAAAUUUUAUACAGUAAAUGACAAGAUUUAGACAAAACUACUUCUUUGGAGUUUUGACAGGUUUUUUUCAUUUUCUGGCUAAGUGAAAUAAGAUAAAAUUUUAUUUAUUUUUUUUUUAAUUUUAGUGUUUUAUUAUUUUUAGAAGAAAUUAAUGUACCUAAACAUAGACCUCCUAUGUCAAUUUAGAGCCCUUGGGGGAUGCCACCUUGCAUCUCACUGACAGUUCAAAUGUGCGGUUCUUCUGUAGGUCCUACAUAUCUGCCAGCCCUGCACAGAUAGCCUGGAUUUCAGCAGGCAUUAAGUGCCUUCUUUUAGGCAUAUGAAUUUCUCUGUUAGUUAAAUGCUGUAAAAGAUAACAUGGGUCUACAAACGUUUAACUUUUUAAAAUUUAAAUGUUUUAAAAAUAAAGAUAGCACAGCUGCGAAGGUAAUUCCAUCUAAGGUGUUUUAUUUAAGUUUAACAAGACAUAGAGGCAGGAAAGUAAUUUUGUAUCUAACAAGAGGAGAGUUAUUGUGUUUAAGGGGAUGCCAUCAGGAGUCUGUUUUGAAUUAUGGUGGCUGAGCUGAACCUGAGCGUGAGUUGGGAGCUGCUGUUGCCGAGGGUAUGCACCACGAAAGGCCCUGGCCAGAAAUCUGGGGCUUUGCAUCAGGAAUGUAGCAGUCUGAUGUUCAAAACUGUUGGGAGUCUGGCAAAAGUAAGCUUAAUUCCUCAGUUUGGGGCCUGAUGCAGCAAACUAAUUUCGCUGACGAAAGCAGUAAUUUCAGGUACCAGGGCAUUCAGCUAGAGGGAAUUCAAGAAAUACUUGCAUUAAUUACAUAGGCAAUUAGAAACCUAUGUUAAUCAGGUCCAUUUUUGAUGGUCUACUGAAUAGGAGGGAAGUUAAAAAGCUUGAAUAUAUUAGUUGGUGUAGUUAUAUAUGAAAUGUUCAGUGUGGAGUUCAGUAUUACCAAAUAGUUCUUUUAUAACAAGAACAAUUUGUCAUGUAUAUAUUAUAAGAAAAAUUAUAUAUUGUAUAUGUAUAACUCAUCUUAAAAUAAAUCUAAAGCUAUUGGAAGGUAGGAAAUCCUGGAUAAAAUUCACCACAGGCAUUAAUUAGGUUUGUAUAGACAGAGAACACUUUCCCAUGAGCUUUAUUUAUUAAUUAGUCACUAGCAUUAUGAUUGAUAGGAAUUUGGACUAUUUUUGUGGUAGUCUGAAAAAUCAAGUUGUUACAGAAAAAGCUAUGAUAUAGGGUGACUCAAAACUAUCAUAAAAUAUGUUAUAGUAGUGUACAAUUUAAAUUUUAUAAUUUGCAAAUAAAGCAGGUGAACCGUUUUUGUAUACUCAUCUGUUUUAAAGUCUUUAUCAAUCUUUUUCGGGAUGAACUCCCAAGGCAUGGCUGUGAUGGUUGUUUGAAACGAGAAAGAGAUGCCCUCUUGUUGUCAUUCAUUUCACUGAUCACUGGGAAUGUGAGCCUGAAUGAAGGCGUAGGAAGACUCCAACAGAGAAUGGGGAAUGGCUUUUCCCUUCGGAAGGGUAUAAUGGCAUUUUUAAUGUUUCUACCAAAUACUGGGGCAUGUGAUAAAACUUUAUGGCUUGUGAAUAAGUUGAAAGACUGUGAAAUGGGAAAGAAUGCACAUUAAGAGAAGCCUUGGAGAGCUACAACCUAAGCACCCUGACAUUUGCUACCAAGGCCGCAGAAUAUCUCUUGAGUUAUUGGAACCAUCUCAAAUGACUGGGGUUUUUUUUGAUACAAUUUACCAGCCCCACUAAGCUCCCUGAGCCAGACCGGGAAAGGACAUUCAUUAAUGUUAGUCCAGGGUACUGAAGUGUAUUCUGGGUGGUGAAACAUUCAGUUUAUGGAAUUAGCUACAGAAUUCAGAUUUAAAAAAAAAAGGCAGCAAGAAUUUGUACCUGGGAGGUGGUACAUGUUUUAAAAAACGCUGUUUAAAAGAUAAUGUGCUUAUAUCUAAACUCUGUUAUCUGCAGCAUAAAAGUUUACCAUUUUAUAUAUAUUAAGUAACAUAUCUAUAUGAUGAAAUGUGAAAUACAUAACUAAAAUAAUGACUAAAAGUAAUAAAUAUGUAAAUAUUACCUAAAUCACAUGCGUAAACAGUAAAUAAACUGGUUCAUUUGUAGAGGCUACAGAAAACACUUUAAAAUUUUAUAUAGUCAUCCCCAUCCCCCCAUUUCUAUUAUAAUUGUAGUUUUAGAGCUAAUUUGUCUAUUCAUUUUUUAAUAUUUGCCGUUGUGUUAAAUUUUACUGAGGAGCAGUUUAGUUUGUGGAAACUGUUAAACUUUCUCCCAACUGCGGUUCAUGUUGUUUAAACAAGAAGUCCUUGAGUAUUUAUCCCAAAUACCAAUAUUUUUACCCCAGUGGCAGCUGUGUAUUUGUGGUCACCCCAUGGCAAUGUGUGUGAAGAAUGUAUACAGUGGCAGUGUAUACUCUCUUCCAGAGAGCACCAGGAGGAAAACUGGAUGCCGUCAACCCACACAUAACUUGCUCCUCUUGGUCUCACCUAGACAGCACUUAAAUGAUAGUUUUUGUUUAGGGAUAAGAAAGACAUUGCUUAUGUUCCCUGAAACAGGCUAAAAAGACCAGCUCUUCUGACACACAGCUUUACACUGAACAUACACGGAACUGUGUCAUUAUUAAUUCUGAAAAUGUGUUUACAACGGUUAGGUAAAAUAUUUAGUUACUAUUUAAAUAUUUUGAUGCAUUAUGGCUCAUACACAAAUUUUAGAUGUCUACUGCCCUUAACAUUUCCAAUUUAAAUAGCUGUUUUCAUUAAGAUUUUUAGUGAUACAAAUUAAUAACAAAAGGCAGUUAAUACAGAGUGCAGUUAUGAGACCAAAAUACAUGUGGUUUAAAUUUGAAGAAUUAAAUGUUAGUAUUUCCCUAUAGAGAAAGGUUUUUUUGGGCAGUGGUGUACUGACAUUAUCACCACCCACAGAGAAGGGGACCUGUUGAUCCUAUUGGUUAAGCAGAAAUUCAAAAAAGGAAGAAUUUGGGUCUAGAGGUUUUGCUUGGUGUAAAUGAAUCAUAUAGGAAAAAUGCUGAUACCCAGAGUCAUCGUAGUGACUUUUUCUGAUGGUUAGAAAGAGAAAUAAGCAUGCAAUAUUUUUGUCAAGUUAGAGGGUUUAGGUCGCUUGCUAGGUGAAAUCUGUCUUGGUUAUUAAUAUAGUGGAAAGUUAAAUUAUGACUAUGAGACUAUGAUAAUAAGUGCUGUUGUAAAUUAGAAAUUAUUUUCUGUGGCCAUUAAGAAUGAUAAUCCAAUGUGUUAACUACUGGGCUGAAGGGCUACUAAGAAAGUAAAUGUGGCAAGAGGAUAUAAUAAAAGAAAAAUCUAUGUUUAAGUAGGU